ACCAUCCUUGCAGCAUUUCAAAAGCUCCCUGACCUUGACUCCCUUCACAAUCAAUUUGACCACCUAUCAAGGAAGCUUGUCUGCCAGAAGACCCUGUUUUCACUUCCCAGCUCUCCUCCUCCAGCAACUGACUGAAAAGCGCCUUUCUUUUCUCUCACUGACGCAGAACUGACAAACCAGUAUCAAGCCGUUCUUUACAAAUCAAUAAACCGGAAGAUCUCAUCUACCGUACUUCCAAAUCCUACAACAUUCCGUCUUCUCUCUUCUUUGCAUAUCACAGGAUAAGCCGCAAGUUAUAUAAAAGCCUGAGAACUUGAUCCACAAGUGAUUCCACUGAGAUGUAACCCUUGUUUUAUCCAAAGGGAAGUGUUGGAACAUGCUUUGACUAUCAGGAACAGCCCAGAUUCGGUGUGUUCCUCUACACAAGGAACAAUUACCUGGAGACAUGAUUCACAUGGAGGAGGGGAGUGCUUUCCUGGAAGAGCUACCAUGAAAAGGUGAAUGUACUGAAAGAUUCAUUUACCUCAGAAUUUGAAGAAAAAGCAUCUGCAUAUUAAAACAUGAUGAACGCAUUAUGGAACAUAUAAAAUUGAUGUGAGAUUAAAAAAAUAAAACAAGAACCAUCAAAGACAUUUCAUGCUUAUCGAAAAAGGAGACAGAUCUAUGUGGAGCACCUAGUGAUUCAAAGAGAUAUUCUUAUUCCCAAUUACAAGGAAAGUAGAAUAUUUGUCUACUCAAGGGAUCAAGAGAAAAACAAGAGGAAUAGUUCUUGCCUUCAAAAACUUUCUGGAGCCCCCAAAAGGGAGAAACUUAUCACUAGAAGCAGAGUGAAAAUACACUAUUCACAAUAGCAAAGACUUGGAACCAACCCAAAUGCCCAUCAAUGACAGACUGGAUAAAGAAAAUGUGGCACAUAUACACCAUUGAAUACUAUGCAGCCAUAAAAAAGGAUGAGUUCAUGUCCUUUGCAGGGACAUAGAUGAAGCUGGAAACCAUCAUUCUCGGCAAACUAACACAGGAACAGAAAACCAAACAUCGCAUGUUCUCACUCAUAAGUGGGAAUUGAACAAUGAGAACACAUGGACACAGGAAGGUGAACAUCACAUACUGGGUCCUGCGG